UGCUGGUGUGUAUUCAUUGCAAAUGUCUGUCCCAGAUGAAUCCCAACUCUGGCUUACUUCCACAGAAAAAGUCCAAAUUUAAAGGGAUGUGUGUGAUGAUUUGUACAUUUGAAAACUUCAUGGAUGUCCUUUUGAGUGGUCUUAAUUCAGUUAUCUUUUUGAUCUUUCCUCUUAUGGACUCCAUCUGCUCUGCGUAACAAUAAGGUCAACAUCGUUAGCAACUAGAAAUCAUUGUCAGUAUUUACCUGUUGACCUUUAACACGGACUAAUCAUGGCUAUCACUGGAUUUUGAGUGACUGAGAGGGAGUUGAUCAUUCCAGGGUUUGAUUUUUACCAGCCAACACAGCACUGAUGUCUAGGUAAUAACAUACUGGUUGGAUAUAGACAUCCUGGAAAAUAUUAUUCAUGGAGAAAGCAUUUGACACUUUGUGUCCUAAAAGCUUCACCUGUCUCUCCAAUAUAGUUCUGGCAACCAGAGGGGAUUGUGAAGAGGGGGCCUGUGUGUGUGUGUGUGUGUGUCCAUUAUCAAGGCAACCCAUCUCCCCUCGGUGCUGAGUGCUUCUCCAAGGUGUACAGUACAGCCAGGCAGGCCGAAUAGAAAAAGGACUCCAUUCUUCUACCCCUCCUGACUCACGGCAAAAGUGCAGCACUACCUCGAGCUCUGGUUUCUGUGGGCCUUUUGUCUCGCGCCACCGAUUGAGGACACAAAAUGGGUCUGGAUGGAACCCAACACCGCGCCCUCAUGUUUCUCAUCGCCCCUGUAGAAGCUACAGUCACAGGAAUGAAAAAAAAUCAAAGCUGUUUUCAUAAAGAGAGACAGAAAAACAUUAGCUAUUUUAUUAGCAUCUUUUUCAUAAAAGCAAACUCAUUAUGCAUAUAGAAAAUGCUGUUUUUAUAUACAUACCUAUUCAACUUUUAUAUCCAUCACCUUUAACCUGAUAUUAGAUACAGUGCUACCAUCUCCCCAUAACCUUUAAAUAGAUAUUUCCCACUCAUACUUGAAACUGUCCCAGCUGGGCUGCCUAGUAAAGCAAUGCCACUGACCCAGUAAUGUGAGCAGAAUGCCUUCCUCUGAGUAGCUCUGCUCUGCAAGCAUUGGACCUGAAUAUUACAGAGGCCAAUCACAGCGGAAGCUCGUAAGUGGAGCUUUUUGGUGAAGGAAUGUUGCGGUAAACACAGAUUUGCCAUUAGAUAUGUGUGGUACCAAAUCUGACCUUCACUAUCAAAGGGAUACAAUACCUGUGCAAGAUAACACACCAGUAGCUGAAAGGAUUAGUGUUUGUGUGUAUCUGUAUAUGCACACGUGUGACUGCAUGUGUUUAUAAUUGUAGUUCCAUCAUAAAAUGUGACUGAAAAAUACACUGAUUAUAUCAAUUUCUAUGAAUAUUGUCAUAUCCACUGCUUAAUGCUUUAGGAUACAGAUUAAUAUACAAAGUUUAUUUACCAAACCCAUUUUUCACAAGUAUCUUAAAGGACUUUACAUACCGUCCUACAUUAUAUACACUAGAUCAUAAUAUGCAAUGUUGCUUCAAAGACACUUGACCUCAUUAGUUUAAGUAAAAGUUUUUCCAAAGACUUUCCAACUCAGAACCUUUUUUUUCUGUGAAGUGACAGAGCUGUGUUAAAGCAACUACUGCUGUCUUCUUUAGCAACUGCCAAUAAAUGUCCCUUGAGCAAAGCAGUUAACUUCUAGUAAACAAAUGAAGACUGUGUUUGUUCAGGGCAGCUGAUGUGAAUGGGGAAAAAAACAUGUUAAGCCCAGUCAAAUAAACCAAUAAAUUAUCAUUAAUUUCAAUCAUGGUUCUAUACUCUGUAUCAUGCUAACUAUACAGAAGUUGAAUGUAUACAAAUAUGAAUACUGCAUAAAUAGUGCCUUAACUUGAUGGUUCCAUAAAA